UGUUGAGUGCCAACCCUGCCAACCUCCAGUCCUCAAGUCCCAGCCUUGAGUGCUUGUUUUCUCGCCCUAUUUCUUUACCGCCCAAGAGCGCCAGGACGAGACUGAUCCUUCUCCUCCAUCUGCUGCUGGAACUCGGUGCUACCAGAAACAGUCUUCCAACGCCUAGUUCUCGUGCUCAGAGCGAUUCAUCCUCGUAUUUAAGGCAUCUAAUCCUCACACUCAAGGCAUCUGACGGAUGGUCAGCGUCCUUACACUCCUUGGAUUUAACACAACUUUCCACUGCUUCCACUGUUGAAAAAAACGAAGAAAGCUACGAGUCAUGGUGAGCAGUGAGUGACCCUGGUGGACCAGCAUCUUGGCCAGGUGAGCAGUGAGUGACCCUGGUGGACCAGCAUCUUGGCCAGGUGAGCAGUGAGUGACCCUGGUGGACCAGCAUCUUGGCCAGGUGAGCAGUGAGUGACCCUGGUGGACCAGCAUCUUGGCCAGGUGAGCAGUGAGUGACCCUGGUGGACCAGCAUCACACAUCUGGCCACACCAGCACCUGUCAUCUCUCUACACCUUCAGCACCAGCACCAUCGUGAGUGUGUCUGCCUACACUCUCUUACUGGACCUAAGAAGGCAUUUCUCUGGUGGAAUAUUAUAUCUGGAGAAUACGGCUACUUUGUCGCAGACUACAGCUUAAUUAUCUGCACAUCGCAUAUUUUUUGGGCUUACGUAGAGUAACAAGAUGCAACGGGCAGAACCUCCCCGAGCAACCACGGUGGCAGCGGCGCUGUCCACCACCCGCUGGUCUCUACCUGCAACCUGGUCCUCCACACCUCGCAGGAAGGACUACCAUAUGCCAGAGAAAUCUCAGUCAUCUUCACUCCUUUCGCUUGCUAUAAAGCAGAAUUGGUGGUGCACUAGCUGCCGCAGACCCAGGGAGGAAUGUGACUGUCUCUGCGUUAUAUCUUAAGCUGUAAUCCUGGCGUUUUGGGGACCAAUGAAGGCUCCCACAAACCUCUGCUGUACUUUAGACUGGCAAGAUUUGGGAUGAGGUUCCCAAAGUGUACAAAGUGUAAUGACACGGCCCUUGGGAUGAAUUCAUAUAGGUGGUCAGACUAGCUUCACCAGGGACGAUUUAUCACAUGACUGGCGAUAUUUUCAUCGUUGAUGCUCUUUUCCUUGGUUGUGACUUAGAAUAUUAGAGGUUGAUUGCAGGAGUAGACCUAGUUCUGUACUAGGUAGUUUAAAUACAAAAUAACUGCAUUUAGGUAUUUUGUAUUCUUGUAAAUAGGCUUUUUAAAUUAUAAACUAAUGUAAAAGGUCGUGUGUAUUUGAGGCUAUAUUUUUGUAAUUGAUUUAACGCUAUUAGAGGCUAAUAAGAUUACGUAUUACACUGCGAGCCUUGUUUAAAAUGUAAAGUUAGGUGCUGGGCAUACACCGGUGCCUUAAGUAUUGAAAAUUUGUUAAUGUAGUGUCUCGUGUUAGCUUAUCAGUGUUUGCAGUGUCAACAUAUUUAAUUGACGAGACUGUAAACAUUUCAUUGUAUAUUUUAAGGACUUUUGUAUUUGAGAACUUACUUAGUUUUUAAGAAGUUUAUUCGAAAUGUCUAACUGUAUACAUCUUGUGCAUUAUCACUCACGCAUUUCAGCCAUUUCAUGUUCAGCCAUUCAAACGUCCAUAGAUAAUAUUGCUCAAUUUAGAAUACUAUAUUUUUUAUAAAUGAAUUAAAUAGAUUUAGACAAUUUGACUAUUUUUAACCUAUUUCAUGUGAUUAAGGGAACUGUGGUUUAGCCACAGGAUUAAAUUCCUCGAGGGUGCAUUCUGUUGUAGCUUUAAUAGUAAGACUUGUAUUACAUGGGCACUGGAUUUCCCAUUGACUAUAAGGUGAUUCACAUACAGUAGGUAUCAUAAUAGCUCACUUUACUUUUAUGCAUAUAAACAACUUUUUAACAUGUCAAGCAAGUGCCUUACUCUAGCACAAACCUACGGCCUCGUAUAUGGCUCAUAACAUUUAAAAUGUAAUAUCUAAAUUUAAGAUUAAAUAAAAGGCAAUUUGUCUAAGUGCUAUGAUAGUAUGGUGCUGUUACCAAUUUAUUAAAUUGUGAAGGUUGUAUAUCUAGUGAUAAGUCUGCAUUUUAAAGUGUAGUUCUUAUAUAAACAGAAGAGUAACAAUAUAUUGUACAGAAUGUGCUUUAAUAUUAAAGAGGAAAAAAUAAA